rnacentral:rRNA from 1 species
GAUGAACGCUGGCGGCGUGCCUAAUACAUGCAAGUCGAGCGAACAGACGAGGAGCUUGCUCCUCUGACGUUAGCGGCGGACGGGUGAGUAACACGUGGAUAACCUACCUAUAAGACUGGGAUAACUUCGGGAAACCGGAGCUAAUACCGGAUAAUAUAUUGAACCGCAUGGUUCAAUAGUGAAAGACGGUUUUGCUGUCACUUAUAGAUGGAUCCGCGCCGCAUUAGCUAGUUGGUAAGGUAACGGCUUACCAAGGCAACGAUGCGUAGCCGACCUGAGAGGGUGAUGGGCCACACUGGAACUGAGACACGGUCCCGACUCCUACGGGAGGCAGCAGUAGGGAAUCUUCCGCAAUGGGCGAAAGCCUGACGGAGCAACGCCGCGUGAGUGAUGAAGGUCUUCGGAUCGUAAAACUCUGUUAUUAGGGAAGAACAAAUGUGUAAGUAACUAUGCACGUCUUGACGGUACCUAAUCAGAAAGCCACGGCUAACUACGUG